GAAUCCCAUUUUAUGAAGAAUCCAUUGCCUCACAAUGAUGGCACCACUGUCAAUUAUCACAAAGCAAAUUCUCCAUUCUAAAGGGGAUGGCCAUUUUGGAAAGUACACGUGACUGGAGAGAAGGGGCUUUAACAUGAAUGAUUUUGUACCCAGCUCCGACAGUGUUGAUGAAGAGGGUAAAGAACUUCCACAAGCCACGCUAUACAAUCUUUCAUCAGGUUGGUUCCAAGGACCAUUUGGUUUUUAGCUCCAGAUUGGCCAAAUUCCUUCCAUGGGAUGCAGAACACUGGAGGUGGUGUCAAGUGCCCACGGAAGAUUUCUAUAGCCCGUGUUCCUGUCCGCCCAGGUCAAAGGUACUACACUGUCUCACACUUGUAAGAUUUAAAAAAAAAAAAACAUCUUCACAUCUGACUCAAGAGAACGUUCACGUUGAAAGUAGCCAUGACCCAAGUGCCAGGGAAAACGCAAUUACUCAUCUCACUCAAAUGCUUUCAUUUCCAAGAAAAACUUCGGGCCACCAUUGAGAAUUCAAGUUCACGGAAACAAAGUUAGCGGAUAACAAACACAGUCAGUUCUAAAUUCCUAAGUCUCUAAUCCACUUGCCUUUCUGUCUGUGUGCCAAUCUAGCGUGACCUUGCAUACUUUGCUGGUGAGGACCUGAGGACACAUUGCCGCGGUCGUCCUCAGGUAGUGGAGGGCUGCGCACACCCCAAGAGCGAGGCCUAAGGAGGGGGCUGAGUUGGCAUUUGAAAGGAGGACUCGGGCUGCUCGCUUUGUGGGACUUUGUCACUGUGCUUCAAAUGUACUCAAUCAUCUGUCAUCUCACCGGGGAAACCAUCAUUAUGACCGUCAAAACCUGGGCUAUUAAUUUCUGGAUCUGAGGGUGUUGACAUCACAGUCAUUACAUUUUGAACCUAAUUUACUUUAAAGGCCUCUGAGUUAAGAACAACUUUCUGAACUUUCAAAGUUACGUAUUCCUCAAUGAGGGCACGUUAAAAGAGAAGCUUUCCUGAUUAGCCUGGCUACCUGUUUUGGAGGCCCCCUGCCUCAAGGUAAUAAAGUAAAGGCACAGGAGCUUUACUGUUU
rnacentral:lncRNA from 1 species